rnacentral:rRNA from 1 species
CCUACGGGUGGCAGCAGUAGGGAAUCUUUCACAAUGGGCGAAAGCCUGAUGGAGCAACGCCGCGUGCAGGAUGAAGGCCUUCGGGUUGUAAACUGCUUUUAUAAGCGAGAAAUAUGAUGGUAACUUAUGAAUAAGGAUCGGCUAACUACGUGCCAGCAGCCGCGGUCAUACGUAGGAUCCGAGCAUUAUCCGGAGUGACUGGGUGUAAAGAGUUGCGUAGGUGGCGUAGAAAAUAGCUAGUGUAAUUCGGUGGUUCAACCAUUCAGACUAUUAGCUAAACUGCUAAGCGUGAGUGCGUUAGAGGUAAGUGGAAUGUCUGGUGUAGGGGUGAAAGCCGUAGAUAUUAGAAGGAACACCGAUAGCGUAGGCAGGUUACUGGGACGGUACUGACGCUAAGGCACGAAAGCGUAGGGAGCAAACGGGAUUAGAUACCCGAGUAGUC